rnacentral:rRNA from 1 species
AACGAACGCUGGCGGCAUGCCUAACACAUGCAAGUCGAACGAGACCUUCGGGUCUAGUGGCGCACGGGUGCGUAACGCGUGGGAACCUGCCCUUAGGUUCGGAAUAACUCCCCGAAAGGGGUGCUAAUACCGGAUAAUGUCUUCGGACCAAAGAUUUAUCGCCUUUGGAUGGGCCCGCGUUGGAUUAGGUAGUUGGUAGGGUAAAAGCCUGCCAAGGCGACGAUCCAUAGCUGGUUUGAGAGGAAGGUCAGCCACACUGGGACUGAGACACGGCCCAGACUCCUACGGGAGGGAGCAGUGGGGAAUGUUGGACCAUGGGCGAAGGCCUGAUCCAGCACUGCCGCGUGAGUGAUGAAGGCCUUAGGGUUGUAAAGCUCUUUUAACCGGGAUGGUAAUGACGGUACCGGGAGAAUAAGCCCCGGCUAACUACGUG